rnacentral:rRNA from 1 species
AGAGUUUGAUCCUGGCUCAGGACGAACGCUGGCGGCGUGCUUAACACAUGCAAGUCGAGCGAUGAAGCUCCUUCGGGAGUGGAUUAGCGGCGGACGGGUGAGUAACACGUGGGUAACCUGCCUCAUAGAGGGGAAUAGCCUUUCGAAAGGAAGAUUAAUACCGCAUAAGAUUGUAGUACCGCAUGGUACAGCAAUUAAAGGAGUAAUCCGCUAUGAGAUGGACCCGCGUCGCAUUAGCUAGUUGGUGAGGUAACUGCUCACCAAGGCGACGAUGCGUAGCCGACCUGAGAGGGUGAUCGGCCACAUUGGGACUGAGACACGGCCCAGACUCCUACGGGAGGCAGCAGUGGGGAAUAUUGCACAAUGGGGGAAACCCUGAUGCAGCAGCGCCGCGUGAGUGAUGACGGUCUUCGGAUUGUAAAGCUCUGUCUUUAGGGACGAUAAUGACGGUACCUAAGGAGGAAGCCACGGCUAACUACGUGCCAGCAGCCGCGGUAAUACGUAGGUGGCAAGCGUUGUCCGGAUU